rnacentral:rRNA from 1 species
CCUACGGGUGGCAGCAGUGGGGAAUAUUGGACAAUGGGGGCAACCCUGAUCCAGCCAUGCCGCGUGUGUGAAGAAGGCCCUCGGGUUGUAAAGCACUUUCAGUGAGGAAGAACGCCUGGUGGUUAAUACCCAUCAGGAAAGACAUCACUCACAGAAGAAGCACCGGCUAACUCCGUGCCAGCAGCCGCGGUAAUACGGAGGGUGCGAGCGUUAAUCGGAAUUACUGGGCGUAAAGCGCGCGUAGGUGGCUUGAUAAGCCGGUUGUGAAAGCCCCGGGCUCAACCUGGGAACGGCAUCCGGAACUGUCAAGCUAGAGUGCAGGAGAGGAAGGUAGAAUUCCCGGUGUAGCGGUGAAAUGCGUAGAGAUCGGCAGGAAUACCAGUGGCGAAGGCGGCCUUCUGGACUGACACUGACACUGAGGUGCGAAAGCGUGGGUAGCAAACAGGAUUAGAUACCCUAGUAGUC